GACGGAGGAUGCAAGUGUUAUCCGGAAUCACUGGGCGUAAAGCGUCUGUAGGUGGUUCAAUAAGUCAACUGUUAAAUCUUGAGGCUCAACUUCAAAAUCGCAGUCGAAACUAUUGGACUCGAGUAUAGUAGGGGUAAAGGGAAUUUCCAGUGGAGCGGUGAAAUGCGUAGAGAUUGGAAAGAACACCAAUGGCGAAAGCACUUUACUGGGCUAUUACUGACACUGAGAGACGAAAGCUAGGGGAGCAAAUGGG
rnacentral:rRNA from 1 species